rnacentral:sRNA from 1 species
GACCUAACCCCGGCAAGUUUCUGUCGGAUAUGGUCUUAAAUCCUCAGCAAUAGAGAUGGUCUUCUGACCAGCACUCGUUGCUGAGGUGUAUGUCCGAAAGGAUAUACGGCAUUUCCGAAAGGAAGUGUC